rfam:Drosophila busckii chromosome 3L sequence.
UGGAUAAAGUGUUGUUACAUAUGUUAGACUAAUGAAAUUAAUUUGAUUGCAAUUAUUAUGCUGAGUGCUA